AUAAAAUUGUAUUUCCUUUAGGCUUUUCUGAAUAUUAAUGAUCUAAAACAUAACUGAAAUCAAAUUAUAUCAGCAGUAACAGCAAAAACAAUGGAUAGAAUGAAGGUAAAUGUAAAAGUGCCAAACCUUUUGCCUGUCUGCAGUAACAUGUAGAAACUCAUAAAAUUUUUGGUGGUCAGCCAAGUGCUAUUUAAUAACCUUUAGUUCUCGGACACAAAAUUUUUUAGCGAAUUCACAGAGUUACUAUCAUUUUGAUUGUUGCCAAGGAAUCGUUUUAAGUAUAUAGGGUCCUCGGUUCAUUGAGUUAUCCAGUUUACUCCAUUAAACAGCAGAAGUAUCCAUACAGAGCAUGAGGACUGGAAACCUGAUCCUCCAGGGUCAACGCCAAGCCUCGAGACUGCACCGCCUUCCUCGUUAAAGAUGAGCCAUCGCAUCUGACAGUAAAAGCUGCGGAGAAGGAAGGACUCUGGCUUGUUUUGGAAUAAACCAAACUUCAGUACUCUGCCUCAAGGUCCAUUUUAUUGAAAUCAGUUUCAGGUGGAUGUUCCUGACAUUAGACUGAUAAUAUAAGCUUUUAAAAAGUAGAAAUGCUGUGUUUAUUCUCUGACUAAACCUAAUGUCCAGAGAGUGGAUUCACAGUUUUUAUGCCAAAAGCAAUUGAUCUGUAUCACCAAACAUCUGGCAAGGCCUGAAAAAAACUUAAAGCAAUGCCGGACAAUGUAGGUGGGCACGCGGAUGCUUACCUGUGAAUUUAACUGAUAAAUAGAUAAAUGCUACCAAAGUGAUUGAAUUAACAGAUGUAUCCUCUACUUCCUAAAAUUCUUUAGCACAGGAGGAACUAAAUGAGGGCAAGAGGAUCUUCUGAAUUGGCUUUGUGACACAUGAUCAGCCAAACCACUGGAAGACUGAGCUGUUGCGGCUGCUGCCUCUGAAAUUCAAUAAAUAAAAAGCUGGCCAUGGUCUGUGAGUCUGGC